rnacentral:tRNA from 1 species
GGGGAUGUAGCUCAGUGGUAAAGUUCAUGCCUAGCAUGUAUAAGGUCCUGGGUUCAAUCUCCAGCACUGCCA